rnacentral:rRNA from 2 species
AAAUUGAAGAGUUUGAUCAUGGCUCAGAUUGAACGCUGGCGGCAGGCCUAAC